rnacentral:snRNA from 1 species
UUACUUACCUGGACGGGAUCAAUGGGUGAUCAAGAAUGCCUAUGGUCUAGGUCAGUGGCCUCCAUUGCACAAAGAAGGGGUGCUGCCUUAAGGUCUCCCCAAGUGGGAGAGCCUGCGUCAUAAUUUGUGGUAGAGGGGGCUGCGCAAGUCGCGGCCCCUG